UUACCAGUAGAGAAAAGCCUGCGAAGGCGAAUGUUGAAUUUUUAGUUUUUACGAAAAUUUUAUCAUACCAUUUUCGAUCGGUACUUUUGAACAAGUGCGCAACUUUGAAUUUCGCGGCACAUUGGGGUAAAUGUGGCAACAUCCGUUAGAAUCACGCAUACAGCGCUGUCUUACGUACACGUCGUCUCCGCGAACUACAAAUAGUACAAAUUCAAAAGUUUUCGGCAAUGUGCUGCAGCCGUGAGUUCUGUUUUGUAACGGUUUAAAAAUUCUUUAAUGUCGUUGUUUUACUUUUAAUUUACUUAUUCCUAAAUAUUUGUGGAAAGAAAAACCAUGGGUUCAACGUCCGGCAUUAGUGCAGAUCAUUUAAUUUCAGGAGUUUCUAUUGGAGAGAACUUGAGGCCAGGAGGACCUACCGUACUGAAUCAUAGUCUAAGUAGUUCCCUUAACUCUUCAUUCUUGCUCCUUUCUCUUUUUUUUAUUUCAAAAACUUGAACUGUUCCAAAUUUUACCUCACUUUUUCCGAGACCACCUCAAGACCUA
rnacentral:lncRNA from 1 species